rnacentral:rRNA from 1 species
AUAUCAAUAAGCGGAGGAAAAGAAACUAACUAGGAUUCCCUUAGUAACGGCGAGUGAACCGGGAAAAGCUCAAAUUUGUAAUCUGGCUGUCUUCGAUAGUCCGAGUUGUAAUCUAUAGACGUGUUUUCCGUGCUGGACCGUAUCUAAGUCCCUUGGAACAGGGUAUCAAAGAGGGUGACAAUCCCGUGCUUGAUACGACCACCAGUGCUCUGUGAUACACGCUCUACGAGUCGAGUUGUUUGGGAAUGCAGCUCAAAAUGGGUGGUAAAUUCCAUCUAAAGCUAAAUAUUGGCGAGAGACCGAUAGCGAACAAGUACCGUGAGGGAAAGAUGAAAAGCACUUUGGAAAGAGAGUUAAACAGUACGUGAAAUUGUUGAAAGGGAAACGAUUGAAGUCAGUCGUGUUCUUUGGAUUCAGCUAGUUCUUCUAGUCUACUUCCAUUGAACGGGUCAACAUCAGUUUUGUCCGGUGGAUAAAGAUAGUAGGAAUGUAGCUCCCCCGGGAGUGUUAUAGACUAUUAUUGCAUACACUGGGUGAGACUGAGGACUGCAGCUCGCCUUUUGGCCGGUCUUCGGACACGUUCGAGCUUAGGAUGUUGACAUAAUGGCUUUAAACGAC